rnacentral:rRNA from 1 species
CAGCAGUAAGGAAUAUUGGGCAAUGGUCGGAAGACUGACCCAGCCAUGCCGCGUGCAGGAAGAAGGCCCUAUGGGUUGUAAACUGCUUUAGCCAGGGGCUAAACCUACCGAUGCGUUGGUAGCUGAAGGUACCUGGAGAAUAAGCAUCGGCUAACUCCGUGCCAGCAGCCGCGGUAAUACGGAGGAUGCGAGCGUUAUCCGGAUUUACUGGGUUUAAAGGGUGCGCAGGCGGUUGUUUAAGUCAGGGGUGAAAGCCCUAUGCUCAACAUAGGGAUUGCCUUUGAUACUGAACGGCUAGAGUGAAGAUGGAGUGGGUGGAAUGUGUUGUGUAGCGGUGAAAUGCAUAGAUAUAACACAGAACACCGAUCGCGAAGGCAGCUCACUAAUUUUCAACUGACGCUCAUGCACGAAAGCGUGGGGAUCAAACAGGAUUAGAUACCCUGGUAGUCCACGCUGUAAACGAUGAUCACUAGCUGUUGGUACGCUGAAGUAUCAGUGGCUAAGCGAAAGUGAUAAGUG